rnacentral:rRNA from 1 species
UGAGGAAUAUUGCACAAUGGGGGGAACCCUGAUGCAGCAACGCCGCGUGGAGGAUGAAGGUCUUUGGAUUGUAAACUCCUUUUUUCGGGGAAGAGGAAGGACGGUACCCGAGGAAUAAGUCACGGCUAACUACGUGCCAGCAGCCGCGGUAAUACGUAGGUGGCAAGCGUUAUCCGGAAUUACUGGGCGUAAAGGGCACGCAGGCGGCUUCAAAAGUCUGACGUGAAAGCUCCUGGCUUAACUGGGAGAGGUCGUUGGAAACUGAGGGGCUUGAGGUGAUGAGAGGGGUGCGGAAUUCCCGGUGUAGUGGUGGAAUGCGUAGAUAUCGGGAGGAACACCAGUGGCGAAGGCGGCACCCUGGCAUUAACCUGACGCUCAUGUGCGAAAGCGUGGGGAGCGAACGGGAUUAGAUACCCCCGUAGUCC